rnacentral:rRNA from 1 species
CGGUGGAUGAUGUGGUUUAAUUCGAUGCAACGCGAAAAACCUUUACCCACCUUUGACAUGUACGGAACUUGCCAGAGAUGGCUUGGUGCUCGAAAGAGAGCCGUAACACAGGUGCUGCAUGGCUGUCGUCAGCUCGUGUCGUGAGAUGUUGGGUUAAGUCCCGCAACGAGCGCAACCCUUGUCAUUAGUUGCUACGAAAGGGCACUCUAAUGAGACUGCCGGUGACAAACCGGAGGAAGGUGGGGAUGACGUCAAGUCCUCAUGGCCCUUAUAGGUGGGGCUACACACGUCAUACAAUGGCUGGUACAAAGGGUUGCCAACCCGCGAGGGGGAGCCAAUCCCAUAAAGCCAGUCGUAGUCCGGAUCGCAGUCUGCAACUCGACUGCGUGAAGUCGGAAUCGCUAGUAAUCGUGGAUCAGCAUGUCACGGUGAAUACGUUCCCGGGUCUUGUACACACCGCCCGUCACACCAUGGGAGCGGGUCUCGCCAGAAGUAGUUAGCCUAACCGCAAGGAGGGCGAUUACCACGGCGGGGUUCGUGACUGGGGUGAAGUCGUAACAAGGUAACA